AGUUAGCAUGGCAUUUUGAAUGGAGUUUUAAGCCUAAAGGACAGUAUCCUACUUGCAGAAGAAGAUGGGAAAUGUAACAUUCCAUUAUCUUGCUUUGGAUUUAUGGAAAUUCUGAACAGUGAUGUGAGAGUGACUACAGUUUGAAGUAUCUGUUAAAUACAGCAACAUGACAUCACAAGGAUUGUUUUGGAGUCUUCUGGAUAUGAGAACAUUAUAAAAGGAAAUGGCUCACAUAUUAUGGUGGCUAAGAAGUCCUACGAUCUGCUGUCUUCAAACUGGAGAACCAUAAAUGUCAAUGGUGUAAUUCAGUCUGAAUCUGAAGGCCUAAGAACCAAGAGAAAUGAUGGUAUAAUUCCUGGUCUGAAUCCAAAAGCAGGAGAAGAUGUCCCAGUUCAAGCAGAAGGAAUAAAUUCAUUCUUUAUCUUCCU
rnacentral:lncRNA from 1 species